AGUGAACGCUGGCGGCGUGCCUAAUACAUGCAAGUCGAACGGAGUGGCGCACGGGAGAGUAAUGUAUAGAGAAUCUGCCCUACACUAGAGGAAAACAGUAGGAAAAGACUGCUAAUACUCUAUAGUGUAGGAUGAGGCUAUAUUGUAUAAGCUAGUUGGUGAGGUAAUGGCUCACCAAGGCUAUGACGUGUAACUGGUCUGAGAGGAUGAUCAUUCGCACUGGAACUGAGACACGGUCCAGGCUCCUACGGGAUGCAGCAGUAGGGAAUAUUGCUCAAGGGGGGAAACCCUGAAGCAGCAACGCCUCGUGGAGGAUGACACUUUUCGGAGCGUAAACUCCUUUUGUUAGUGAAGCGUUACCUAACGAAUAAGCACCGGCUAACUCCGUGCCAGCAGCCGCGGUAAUUC
rnacentral:rRNA from 1 species